rnacentral:lncRNA from 1 species
GAUCACCAUCCUCCAUAGAUGCAGCCGCAAUCGCCACCGCCGCUACAAUAUCGGAACCGUGCAAGAAAUCUGGUUGUAGAUCCCUUUCUACCUCCACCGCUUGUCUCUGAUGCAAGAUCUGUGAUCUCGCUGCCGCCGUUACAUUUCUCGAUUCUCGAUAAUUUGGAGAGGGUAUACGACUUCAUCGACAGUAGCUCAAUUAUCUCCAGUGAGUUAGUUGCCGUUUUAAUUACAUUUUAUUUUAUUUUGUUCGUCUAAGGUUGGUGAUUUUUAUGCCGUAUGUGUACAUGAUUGUAAAUGGAGUUUUAUUGUUGUUUCAGUAUACUGAUAGAUUUUAGUGUGUAGUUUAAUUAUGGAGUUUUAUUGUUGCUUUAGUACAUUGAUGAAGUUUUGUUAUGUAAUUGAAUUAGUGAAGUUUAUUGAUGCUUUAGUAUUUUUUCAUGGAUUUUUCUGUUUCAUAGUUGAUUAGCACGAGAGAGUAUAUUGAUGUAUUGUUAUGCUCUAUAGUCGAUUUGCAUAGUUAUAAUCGAUUUUAUUUAAUUUUCAUAGUCCGGUAAAUUUGCUACCUUACUCAUAUCAUAACUUUAUGCUAAUUUAUUUUUCAGAUGAUGUGGCUACAACUGCAAAAUCGAGGGGAGGACAUUCGAACAUUUCAUAAAGAGAAGUUGGAUUCGGGUCGGAAGCUUUUGCCAUAGUUUAUUCAUUUUGUGAUGGCUCAAUUGAUAUUUUUUCUUAGUUGAAGGAUUUCCGCCUGUGGAUUGGGGGAAGAUCGUGUUUUUGUAGAUGUAUUUGCUCAAUUACAUAGUAGUUUUCGUUGCAAUUGGG